GGAAUUUUCCGCAAUGGGCGAAAGCCUGACGGAGCAACGCCGCGUGAGGGAUGAAGGCCUCUGGGCUGUAAACCUCUUUUAUCAAGGAAGAAGAUCUGACGGUACUUGAUGAAUAAGCCACGGCUAAUUCCGUGCCAGCAGCCGCGGUAAUACGGGAGUGGCAAGCGUUAUCCGGAAUUAUUGGGCGUAAAGCGUCCGCAGGCGGCCCUUCAAAUCUGCCGUUAAAAAGUGGAGCUUAACUCCAUCAUGGCAGUGGAAACUGUUGGGCUUGAGUGUGGUAGGGGCAGAGGGAAUUCCCGGUGUAGCGGUGGAAAGCGUAGAUAUCGGGAAGAACACCAGUGGCGAAGGCGCUCUGCUGGGCCAUCACUGACGCUCAUGGACGAAAGCCAGGGGAGCGAAAGGGAUUAGAUACCCCUGUAGUC
rnacentral:rRNA from 1 species